rnacentral:sRNA from 1 species
UAAGAAACUCACUGAGCUGGUUGUGAA